UACAGUCUACUUCCCAGCUUGGGGAAAAUCAUAUAGUAUAUUACAAGGUUAAAUUUACGUGGCCACCUUACUGCCACUCACUCUAGUUGGCACAACAAUUAAAGAAGAUAGAUAGAAAUGUCCAUAAAGUUAGUGGAAAGCAAAAUAAGUGUGCUGCCACCCCACUACCUAUUGCUCCCCACCUAUUCAAACCACCUCCACCAUCUCGAUUCUUUAAGGCUACUAGCCAACACUCCUUCAAGCAAACAAUUCAGCAGCAACCUACCUCCAUUCAUUCUUUACUCACCUGUAUUUGUUAAAGUAGCAACCUUAUUUCAGUUCAUCUCAUACAAAUCAACAACAACAGCCAUCAACAACAAACAAUUACAGGUCAAGCGCGAGAGUAAGAACUACACAAGGAGUUAGAGUACCUUAGCAAAACUUUGCUAUCAGGUUGAGCUGUGAUGGGCGAUGAAGUGUUGUUGCUGAGUGGAGUUUUUGUCGAACUUAAAGUAGGCUCAGAAAGGAUACAUGUCUUCAUACAUGUAUCUCAGUUAUGCUUUCCGCUGUAAACACUGAUUUUUUUUUAGUUACACCUUCCGUUGCAAACUCUGAUAAUGUUUUAGCCAAGCCCCUAACGAUGCCUUUUUCCUUUUUAAGGAAUAUAACGCGUAUACAAGUUCUUUGAGUACCCUUUUUAUGCGAACUAUGCCUUUUUCCUUUUUAAGGAGUAUUUCACACGUAUUCAAGCUCUUUGAGUAUUCUUUUAUGCACCCCUUUCUAAACCCGCUUCGUAAUUUCCCUUCCCCAGUCA